AGAGUUUGAUUAUGGCUCAGGAUGAACGCUAGCGACAGGCUUAACACAUGCAAGUCGAGGGGCAGCAUAAAAGUAGCAAUACUUGGUGGCGACCGGCGCACGGGUGAGUAACGCGUAUGCAACCUACCUAUCAGAGGGGAAUAACCCGGCGAAAGUCGGACUAAUACCGCAUAAAACAGGGGCACCGCAUGGUGAUAUUUGUUAAAGAAAUUCGCUGAUAGAUGGGCAUGCGUUCCAUUAGGUAGUUGGUGAGGUAACGGCUCACCAAGCCGACGAUGGAUAGGGGAACUGAGAGGUUGGUCCCCCACACUGGUACUGAGACACGGACCAGACUCCUACGGGAGGCAGCAGUGAGGAAUAUUGGUCAAUGGGCGGGAGCCUGAACCAGCCAAGUCGCGUGAAGGAAAGAAGGAUCUAUGGUUCGUAAACUUCUUUUGCAGGGGAAUAAAGUGCAGGACGUGUCCUGUUUUGUAUGUACCCUGAGAAUAAGGAUCGGCUAACUCCGUGCCAGCAGCAGC
rnacentral:rRNA from 1 species